AUGGUUUGUUUAGAUAAUGAAGAAGCAAUUGCUUCAAUGGCAAGGGCUGGCAGAGAAAACAGAAGUUUGCAUGUUAUAGUAGAUGAGAGAAAUCAUGUGAAAUCAGAAUGGGAUGAUCUCAUAUAUAGAGGCUGCCUUGAGCUGCCAAGGGUAAUGACUCAAAGGAAAAUGCCAAGUGGAUUUAGGCCCGGAGAAGGCACUUCUGAGAGCACUAGUUCAUGUAUGAUGCUGGUGAAUGAAGCAGAACCACAUAGUUAUGUCCAUCGAGAACAUGAAGAGGAAGCCGAGAAAGGGCAUGGAGAGGCAACAGAGGAUGAGCAUGGAGAGAGAGUAGAGGACGAGCAUGUAGAGGCAACAGAGGAUGAGCAUGAAGAUGGAGCAGAGGAUGAGCAUGCAGAUGGAUCAGAGGAAGAGCAUGGAGAGGACAGUGGCACAGAUGAAGAUUUUUAUGAAAGUGAUUAUGAUGUUCCUGAUGGGGAUGAUGAUCUAUUUGUUCAGAAUGUUGAUGAGAGUGUGAAUGACCACAAUGAGCAGAAGGAAUACAUAGAUGAUGAAGAUCCAGUGGAAGAUGAUGAUGAUCUAAACUUGUCUAAGAAAGAGCUAGAAAGGUUGAAGUACUCUUUCAAGGCAUUUAAUCCAUAG
rnacentral:rRNA from 1 species